AAAAAAAAAAUCUGGAACAGAUAAAAUAAUUUGCUCGACUUCCUCAGCUCCAAUGGCUGCGACGAUGAUCGGAUUUAACCUCUCCUGCUUCAAAUCAACAUCGUUCUUCUCACCGGACCUCAAUUCUCUCCACUCAAAGCUCUCUCUCCUAUCUCUCAAACCUUCUCCACAGCCACGAAAAUCAACAGUUAUCCGUAUGGGCGGCGGUCCAAGAACAUUCCCCGGCGGUGUAUCAAAAUGGCAAUGGAAAAGGAUGCAAGCGAAGAAACAGAAACAGCUUCUCAAAGCUAGGUUAUGCAGAGAACGUCAGAUCUACGAGAUGAGAAAACGCGCAGAGCUAAAAGCGGCGGUGGCUGAGCUUGAACGACCAUGGGAACCGAUUCAGAAACCACCGAAUCUAUUCUCAGUUUGUGCUGAUGAACAAGUUAAGGUACUCGCGGAUCGGUUUCAGAAACCUGGUGGAUUUGAUCUAUGGACUGAUAGAGAUGGUCCUCAAUUGUUUGAGAGUGUUGAUGAUUUGCCUUCUGCUAGGUUUUUUCCUAAAGGUGUUGUUCAUAGUGUCAAACCUUAUGGUAGAUUAUCAUCAACCUCUGUUGAUGAUGGUGAUUCUGAUGGUAAAGAGAGUGAGGUGAAAGAUGAAGAAAUUGGGAAGAAGCUACGUGGUCGUAGGGUGAGAAAGAGAGUUGGUAUCAGGGGGAUAGAGAGAGGUGAAGAAGGAGGUAAGAGGAGGAUUGAGAAUCGUGUUAAUGGUGGGAGAUUGAGAAAUGGAAAAUCUUCUCAGGUGUAUGAAAUGACUUUGCAGAAUGAUGGGAGAUACGAAAUUGGAUCUUAGGACAAUUCAAAGUUUUCUAUAAGUUACAGGCAUUCUUCUGUUCUAGUGUAUCAUAUCGCAGAGGGCAAGUCUUGACUCUUGAUUAUACUCAUGUGAGAAAGAUAACAAAACGACACUAAAGCAAACAGGAUUUGUGUUGUAAAGAGAUAACUCAAGUCAAAAUGUCUCUUUCAAUUGGAGUCUUCAAGCUCAGCGAAAAUUCGAUCGUAUUCCCUUAUUUGCUGCAGAAAAGUAUAGCAUAUAAAGAAGAGUGUAUGAGAAAAGAAUUAUCUUUUGUAAUUGUCAAAAGAGUUAUAAAAAGAAAGAGGCAUU